rnacentral:lncRNA from 1 species
GUGCAGGCAGGGGUGAGGAGCGCAGCGGGCGGCGAGCGGGAGGCACUGGCCUCCAGAGCCCGUGGCCAAGGCGGGCCUCGCGGGCGGCGACGGAGCCGGGAUCGGUGCCUCAGCGUUCGGGCUGGAGACGAGGCCAGGUCUCCAGCUGGGGUGGACGUGCCCACCAGCUGCCGAAGGCCAAGACGCCAGGUCCGGUGGACGUGACAAGCAGGACAUGACAUGGUCCGGUGUGACGGCGAGGACAGAGGAGGCGCGUCCGGCCUUCCUGGUGAGCGUGCUGGUGGGGCUGCGGCAAGAAGCGGGUCUGUUUCUUUACUUCCUCCACGGAGUCGGCACACUAUGGCUGCCCUCUGGGCUCCCAGAACCCACAACAUGAAAGAAAUGGUGCUACCCAGCUCAAGCCUGGGCCUUUGAAUCCGGACACAAAACCCUCUAGCUUGGAAAUGAAUAUGCUGCACUUUACAACCACUGCACUACCUGACUCAGGAAUCGGCUCUGGAAGGUGAAGCUAGAGGAACCAGACCUCAUCAGCCCAACAUCAAAGACACCAUCGGAACAGCAGCGCCCGCAGCACCCACCCCGCACCGGCGACUCCAUCUUCAUGGCCACCCCCUGCGGCGGACGGUUGACCACCAGCCACCACAUCAUCCCAGAGCUGAGCUCCUCCAGCGGGAUGACGCCGUCCCCACCACCUCCCUCUUCUUCUUUUUCAUCCUUCUGUCUCUUUGUUUCUGAGCUUUCCUGUCUUUCCUUUUUUCUGAGAGAUUCAAAGCCUCCACGACUCUGUUUCCCCCGUCCCUUCUGAAUUUAAUUUGCACUAAGUCAUUUGCACUGGUUGGAGUUGUGGAGACGGCCUUGAGUCUCAGUACGAGUGUGCGUGAGUGUGAGCCACCUUGGCAAGUGCCUGUGCAGGGCCCGGCCGCCCUCCAUCUGGGCCGGGUGACUGGGCGCCGGCUGUGUGCCCGAGGCCUCACCCUGCCCUCGCCUAGUCUGGAAGCUCCGACCGACAUCACGGAGCAGCCUUCAAGCAUUCCAUUACGCCCCAUCUCGCUCUGUGCCCCUCCCCACCAGGGCUUCAGCAGGAGCCCUGGACUCAUCAUCAAUAAACACUGUUACAGC